rnacentral:misc_RNA from 1 species
UACGUAGGGACCAAGCGUUGUUCGGAUUUACUGGGCGUAAAGGGUGCGUAGGCGGCGCGUCAAGUCACUUGUGGAAUCUCCGGGCUUAACUCGGAACGGCCAAGUGAUACUGUCGUGCUAGAGUGCAGAAAGGGCAACUGGAAUUCUUGGUGUAGCGGUGAAAUGCGUAGAUAUCAAGAGGAACACCUGAGGCGAAGGCGAGUUGCUAGGCUGACACUGACGCUGAGGCACGAAAGCCAGGGGAGCGAACGGG